CAAUGUUUGAAAAAGCAUGGCCUACGAGUGCGUAACACACGGGAACCUCCUUAAAAGUUGGGGAUACUAACUAAUACCCAAUAAAAAGAUUGAAUCGCUUUUAAAAGGGCCCAUGGAGGAUUAGGUAGUUGGUAGCACAAAAGACAACCAAGCCAAUGAUCCUUAGCUGAUCUGAAAGGAUGGUCAGCCACGACGGAACUGAAACAAGGUCCGUACUCAGGAAUUUUCCGAGGCAGCAGUGGAGAAUCUUGGACAAUGGGCGAAAGCCUGAUCCAGUUACGUUGCGUGAUCAUUCCCUACAGUACCCUACCCACUUUAACGGGUAGGGUACCACAUACUACUAUGGAGAGAAGGGGAUCUGUUUUCAAUGAAAAUAAUGACCUAAUUGAAGACUAAGUCCUGGCUAACCUCGUGCCAGCAGCCGCGGUAAU
rnacentral:rRNA from 1 species